GCGGAGAAAUGGAGGCUGCAAAAUGGCGGACCCGGAAGUGAAGACGGCGAAUAUAAUUUCUGGCGGAAGAAUCUGUGAAGAGAAUGUGGUUAGAAAAUCCACAUUUGCACUCGAACAGAAGGGUGAUGCACCCCUGAGGCUCAUUUUCUAUUCUCCGAAAGUCUUUUGAGGUGAAGUAGUGCGUAUCUAUGUUAUCUCAGACGGGACUAUUUAGCGAGGCGGAGGAUUGUCGAUUACGCGUCUUACGUGUCAUAUAGUUCCGGUAGGGGACGGACCUGAUGGUUUGUUUUGGCGCCAAGAAUCCCGGUGAACCACUGAGAGAAACUGAUCUCUGCCUUGGGUUUGCAUUUAGCUAGAAGCAACCAGUUUAGGGGCCAGUUUAAGGUUGAAGAGGAAACUGUUUCUCUGUCUCAACUUCGGGCGAAGAUGUUUGGGACGUUGCCUGGAUUUGUGCGUGAAUUGAGCUCUGGUGCCCGACGGACACAUUUCUAGUUACAGCCUAGAGGCACCUAGGCUGAGAUGAUGAACGGCAGACUUAAUGCCACAGGUACCUCCUGAGGCAUCUAGCAUUAUUACCUCAAAUACUUCGUUCAUUAUUGGGCAAGCACAAGAGUAUCUGGUUACAGCUUUCUCCCAAAACACUUUAAAUAAUUUUGAGUUGGAGUUUCCCUGUGGCUCAGCAGGGGACUAGUAUUCAUGAGGAUGUGGGUUCAAUCCCUGGCCUAGCUCAGUGGGCUAAAGAUCCAUUGUUCUGAGCUGCAGCGUUGUGGAGGAUGUGGUUUGGAUCCAGUGUUUCUGUGGCUGUGGUAUAGGCCGGCAGCUCCAAUUCGACCCCCAGCCUGAAAACUUCCUUAUGCUGCUGGUGUGGUCUUAAGAAAAAUAAUAAUAAUUUUAGGUUGAUUUCACCCUUUUUCUUGUCACCUAUCUGUUCAACAUAAAGUUCAUCAUUUUAAUGUAUAAAGGCUACUCAAAUCUUGCUUCCUCAAAGUUAAUAUUAGAUAUUAUGUAUAAGCUGAACGUGGGCGCUCUGUACUGCUUCCCUUGUGGAGAGAGAACUAAGAGUCCAGUCCUGGGAUUGAAUGUCUUUAUUAAAGAAGUGAUUAAAUGGCAA